rnacentral:snoRNA from 1 species
UCCAGUGAUGGCACAUCUUUGAGACCUGAGUUUUCUCCGUUGAUGAAAAACAUAAGCAUAAUACCUGAGGGC